rnacentral:tRNA from 1 species
UAAAAUGUAGCUCAGUGGUAGAACAUUUGUCUUGCAUACAUAAGGCCCUGAAUUUGAUUUUCAGAAUGAUAA